UUUUCCAUUCUAACAAUCAGGAUUAAUUAAAGAUUUUGUGUUUAACAAUGAUCGUUUACUAACUAAAUAGGGUAAAGAUUUUUUACAAGUAUCAUCUUCAAUCCAAAGAUAAUGAAGUUCUAUGGAAAGCAGGAAAUUUUUGCAAGCUCGAAAAACUAUACGAAAUUGGGUUAUACUAACCCAAGAAGAUCGACUACGUGCAUCUACCAUCAAUACCUAUCAGCUACAUAUCAAAUCCUGAAGAUCAAAAGCAGGGCUUGUCAAAUUAAAACUCAUGCUACAAUUUAUGGAAGCAGUUUUCCUCUUCUUUACAAUCUUCCAUAAUUGAACUCUUCCACUGAAGUUGGCAUAGCUGCUCAGCUUCAAAAUCCCAUCCUUGCUAAAGUUGUCAGCAUCCGAUAAUCUAUACGAUCUCACAUCCACCUUAACCUUUAUCUUCUCUGUUUCUUUAGCACUGACUCUUCCCCCACCUAUUUUGGCUUCGCCCACUGUCUUGCCUCUAUACAACACACUUGCAGUAGCAUUCUCGAACACGAACUGCCCGAAAUUCGGAUUGUCGAUCGUGAACUCGGCCUGUAUUGUCAUAUUGAACGAAGGGAACGAUGCAUUAUUAUUAGUAUAAACGAGAUUUUUCACAGAAACCAAGCUCAAUCCGAGAUCAGGAGUUCUCGGACGCAUUACUAGGGCAAUAACAAGGAAGACUACACUGAGGAAGACAAUUCCAGCAAGAACAUAAACGAGGCAUUUACUUCUUUUUUCUUGGCGGGGUUUUAUGGGUUUGAAGGCAAAUUCCUCAUCGCUUCUUGGGUAAAACUUCAGAGGUGCUAACGGAACGACAGCCUGAUUAUCUUCUGCCAUAGAUUUUGUUGGAGAUUGCAGAGACAAAAGGAAGGGUUUUGUUUAGCAGUGUGGUAAGUAAUUUUGGAGUGAAGGAUA
rnacentral:misc_RNA from 1 species